GAUGAAGAACGUAGCGAAAUGCGAUAAGUAAUGUGAAUUGCAGAAUUCAGUGAAUCAUCGAAUCUUUGAACGCACCUUGCACCCUUUGGUAUUCUGAAGGGUAUGCUCGUUUGAGUGUCAUUGUACUCUCACACUCCCGAUCUUGAGUUGGGAGCGGUGGACUUGGGUUUGCUGCUUCACCGUCGCUUACCUCAAAUAGGUUAGUGCAACUCUUGGUUGGACAUAGUACGGCGUGAUAAGUGUUCUUCGCCGGUGCCUCGCAAAGAGGGUGGCCGAUCGGGAUGUUGUGCUCCAAACCGUCUUCGGACAAUCUCUGACGACUUGACCUCAAAUCGAGUAAGACUACCCGCUGAACUUAAGCAUAUCAAUAAGCGGAGGA
rnacentral:misc_RNA from 1 species